UCGUCCGAGUUGUAACCUGGAGAGGCAUUUUCCGCGUUGGACCGUGUACAAGUCUCCUGGAAUGGAGCGUCAUAGAGGGUGAGAAUCCCGUCCAUGACACGGACCGCCAUGCUUUGUGAUAUGCCUUCGAAGAGUCGCGUUGUUUGGGAAUGCAGCGCAAAAUGGGUGGUAAAUUCCAUCUAAAGCUAAAUAUUGGCGAGAGACCGAUAGCGAACAAGUACCGUGAGGGAAAGAUGAAAAGCACUUUGGAAAGAGAGUUAAACAGUACGUGAAAUUGUUGAAAGGGAAACGCUUGAAGUCAGUCGCGUUCCGUGGAACUCAGCCUUACUUCGGUUUGGUGUACUUUCCAUGUGAACGGGUCAACGUCAAUUUUGGCCGGUGGAUAAAGGCAAAGGGAAUGUAGCGUUGCUUCGGUGACGUGUUAUAGCCCCUUGUUGUAUACACCGGCUGGGAUUGAGGACCGCAGCACGCCCUUGUGGCCGGGGGUUCGCCCCACGUACCGUGCUUAGGAUGUUGGCAUAAUGGCUUUAAGCGACCCGUCUUGAAACACGGACCAAGGAGUCUAACAUGCUUGCGAGUGUUCGGGUGGAAAACCCUUGCGCGUAAUGAAAGUGAAAGUUAGGAACCUUCUCGCAAGAGGGGGUGCACUGACGCCCGGCCCUGACGUUCUCUGACGGUGCUGCGGUAGAGCAAGUAUGUUGGGACCCGAAAGAUGGUGAACUAUGCCUGAAUAGGGCGAAGCCAGAGGAAACUCUG
rnacentral:rRNA from 1 species